rnacentral:rRNA from 1 species
GCUUGUCUCAAAGAUUAAGCCAUGCAUGUCUAAGUACAAGCCUCAGUAAGGUGAAACCGCGAAUGGCUCAUUAAAUCACACCUAAUCUACUGGAAAGUUACUAGUUACUUGGAUAACUGAGGUAAUUCUUGAGCUAAUACAUGCGAAAAGUCCUGACUUCUUCGUGAGGGAGGGAUGUAUUUAUUAGAUACAAUCAAACGCACCAACAUAAAACCUUGGUGAUUCAUAAUAACUGUUCGGAUCGUAUGGCUUUUUGCCGACGACAGAUCAUUCAAAUUUCUGCCCUAUCAGCUUUCGACGGUACUGUAGUGGACUACCGUGGCAUUAACGGGUGACGGAGAAUUAGGGUUCGAUUCCGGAGAGGGAGCCUGAGAAAUGGCUACCACAUCCAAGGAAGGCAGCAGG